rnacentral:rRNA from 1 species
AUUGAACGCUGGCGGCAGGCCUAACACAUGCAAGUCGAGCGAGCGGCGGAGGGGUGCGAAAUGUCUCGGCUCCUCUCUCAUCGGGGGGGUUAACAGUUCGAAACGCUGGCUAAUACAGCAUAACAUCAGAUGUGAACAGAUGGGAUUAGCUCGUUGGUGGGGUAACGGCUCACCUAGGCGACGCUCCCUAGCUGGUCUGAGAGGAGGACCAGCCACGCUGGAACGGAGACACGGUCCAGACUCCUACGGGAGGCAGCAGUGGGGAAGAUUGCACAAGGGGCGCGAGCCUGAUGCAGCCAUGCCGCGUGUGUGAAGAAGGCCUUCGGGUUGUAGAGGACUUUCAGCGGGGAGGCGGUACCCGCAGAAGAAGCACCGGCUAACUCCGUGCCAGCAGCCGCGGUAAUAC